AAACUUUCUAUGGACUCAGAUCUAUGAUCCAGACUCCAAGAGAGGGAUGAGACCCAGGUACGCAGUUCUCCAAUUUUGGUGUGGAGCCAGAGUACAGAAGAAAAGAAUACGGUCACUUCAUACCAAGAUGCAUGUGGGAAAUUCCCAGGUUGCAGGCUUGUGAGUCCGCGCAAAAGGCAUGUCUGGCAAGAAGACACCACUAAUCUCCGAGGGACGUCAAUAUGGCUCGGGGAUAGGGUCACCGCGUGCUUUGUUUGAGACUAUUGGACCCUAGGGACAACCCUCGGAUCAGACACGCAACACAGCCUCGGCCGCACCCCGCCCCAGACAAAGAACUCAACUCCAGGCAGGUAAGCAAGGCACCAACGCACCCGGUGGCGGACAGAGCACGGGGGCGCAGACAAAGACGCGCGCCCCCACCGUGCUCCGCCUGCCUACGCCGCGCGCCCGACGGACCCGGGACCCUCUCCAGACAACACCCUGCCGCUUGCUACCACAAGCGCCCCAGGUGCAGCCGCGGGAACACGGGGACUCUGAGGGACCUGCUCCAGCGAAGGAUGUGUGAGCGGAAUUCCCAGAGUCGUCCUCUUGCCCGUUCCUUUAAGGGGUCGGUGCUUCCCCACCCGCGACGCCCUAAGUCCCGCUUUGCUCUUCGCGCACUGACCUCUCGGGCACCCAGAUCCUGCGCGCUUCUCUGCGUUCGUCGACGGUCUCAGCCCUAGGUGCUGCACGGACGCGGGUGGCAGUGAAACUCCCGCGGGCCUGCCAUCCAGGGAGUCUCUUUCUGCAUGCCCAGCUCAGCCGGAACCCGGACCUGGGGCGCGCGAGGCGCACACGUCCCCACGCCUUCUCUGAGCGCUGCGGGCGCUCUGGGCGCAGCGGCCAGGAGCCGUCGAGCGGGCGGGGUGGUGGUGGCGCCGGCAGGCGGGGCGCUGUGUGGGCGGGGCACGGGCAGGCCCAACUAAUCCAGCCCCGAGGCGCAGAUCCGCCCGCGCAGGGUGGGUGGCUGUCUGAUCUGACCCGGUGGUACCCCAGGUUGGCGCGCAAUGGCCACAAGAAACGCCCGUGGGCUCUACUCCACGAUCAUCACAAAAACAAGUUACAGACAACUGGUACUCCGUUUACAUUAAGGGAAACAGAGCCAGAAAGAAGCGAGACCACUGGCAAGUCCAAGAGCUGGGGUAUGAAGGGCUGAGAGGGUCCCCAGAAUCAACAGCCAAACAACACCGUUUUGCUUUGAAUCCAGUUCCGACUCUAAGCAAUCCCACGCUGAAAAGGGCUGUGGUGCCAGGGCUACUCCGUGAGCCCUAGUUACUUUACAGGAGGCUGGAGACGCAAAGCAUCUAAUUUUGUUUGUUUGUGAGGCCAGGGGAGCUGACCUGAGUCCACAAGGAAGCUGAGUAUGCCUGCCUGCCAUACAAGCCUUAGCACAAUGAGCCCUUCAAGCCCAGUACGCACACAGGUGAAACACAGAACUCAGCAAUUCCAUGCAAUUCUAGCAAUUCCAUUUGGGCCCUUGAAAUUCGAGGACCCACACAAAGCUUGAGGUGGAAGGACUCCCACCUAGGCUUCAAAUGCCUGGUCCAGGACGGGCAUCCACUUUGUGGGAAUUCAGCCAUUCCUAGGCCUGUGGGAGCCAGCUCCAUGGGGUGCGUUAGAGGCAGAACGCCAGGGUGGGCCACCAUUCAUCUUUACAAAUGAAUCUUUACAAAUUUAUCCUUACAACUGCAGCCCUUGGAAAUCCAGUGAUAACUGGAGACCUGUCAGAAGUACCAGCCUCAACAGUAUCUUCAGCUCUUUCCUUAUGUUUGGCUUAUUUACCAAAUAAAGGUCCUCUCCUUAC
rnacentral:lncRNA from 1 species